rnacentral:pre_miRNA from 1 species
AAAGUACUCCCUCUGUCCCAAAAUUCUUGUCUUAGAUUUGUCUAGAUACGGAUGUAUCAAGUCACAUUUUAGUAUUAGAUACAUCCGUAUCUAGACAAAUCUAAGACAAGAAAUUUGGGAUAGAGGGAGUAGUUG